CUUCCUCCUCCCCUCUUCCCUGGUCUGCAGGAGCAGCAGCAGCUUAUGGUGGCUUCCACUGAUGGGGAUGCACUCGCCUCCUCUGGAUUUCUUUCGUAGCUUUUUGCAUUUGCCUUUUGUUUAGGUGGGAGCAGUGCGCUCCAGCAGCCCCCAGAGCGGCGGGAGAGGAGGAAACAACUGUAAGCGUGAGCGAUAUCAUCUCCCCCUCCCUCCCCUGUCUCACCCCCUCCCUCUCGCUCUCGCACUCCUGUUCCUUCAUUGCCACGGCCAUCAGGACCCGUCCUCCCUCUCCCAACAUCAUUCUGCUUGGUUAUGCAAUGCACGGUGCUCCCCGGUGACUCGCUGCUGAGGCUGGUGGAAGACGCAGGCUUCCUUUGGCUCUGGUCCGUGGGAUUUUUCGUGGCUUAUGGUUUCUCUGGAAUAUCACCUGUCACACUCUCCUAAUUUGGGAGCUGCCUGUUCUCAACCCCCACCCCCCCACCCCCACCUCUCAGAGGAGGCUGGCUGUCACCGAACGCCUGCAGACUCAAACACGCUCACUGUUGGCAUGUGGGCUUCGGUGACGGGUAGGAGGCUUUCUGAAAUGUUCAACUCCUGCUGAUCCUCAAAGGAGGCAAAACAAGCGAGUGUGUGCUGAGGAACGAGGAGGAGGCACAGAGACGCUGUGGAGGGAGCUGGUGAAGAUGAGCAGAGGAGUUUAGACAGAGCAGAAGAAAAAGGAACAUUUUUUUCUAAAAAAGAUGCGGAGGUAAAAGGACUGAAGGAAUGGUGGGGAGGUAAGACAGAGCCAAUGAGGAGAGGCUUUCUCCUCAGUAACAGGCUGAGUGUCUGAGCAGCAGAAACACAGCUUUGCUGUUAAGGACUGACUCUUUGGACGCAAGUGCUGGAACUUAAUGUAAGGGGAAGCUGGAGGAGGGGGGGUCCUGAACUUUACAGGUGUCGCUUUUGACACGAAGGCUGAAGAAGUGACGUGAGGCUUGAGGCUUCCUCUCCCUUUCACCCCUUCUGUUGCUGAGGGAAUGCGACUCUGUCCCAGAGUGCACCCUCUUCCUAGCCUCCAGCUCCAUAUGCAGCACGAUUUUUAAAGCCACAUUUCUUGUGGAAGGACUUCAGAAGCAUGCUGGAUGAUGAUGUGCACCCAAAAAGCCAUUGGAUGAAUGUCCCUUUGCCAGGUUAGCUGAGCACCAGGAUCAUGGGCACCACUGUCGUCACUCUUGAUGACGUGCGGGCUCUGGAGGUCAAGGAGGAACAAGAGGAGUCCAUCUUAGCCCUGUUGGGCAUCAUCGGAACGUUCCUGAACCUUUUUGUGAUCGUGUUUGUUUACAUAUAUACCACACUGUGAAGAGGUGAGGCCAAGAAAACUAGUUGUCAGGUGCGACGUCUGGUAGAAGCAGGAGCGUGAGCAGCAGAGUGCAGUUGUCUGCAAAGACGGACAAAGAGCUGGCAGAGAAUCCCGCCCGACAUGAACCUUGACUGGAAACAAAAGACGGGUAGAAUGGCCAGAGUGGCUGAGGAUGAAGGAGAAGGAGCCAUGCUGCCAAAUCCCAGCUAUGGGCUGUGGAGAUAACGAACGGCUGGAGGACACGAGAACAGUUCUCAGCUGAAAUCAGGCUGAGAGGAGCCCAAAUGAAAACAAGCCUCCAAAAGGACUGACUGGAAAUACAAACUUUCCUUUGAUAGAAUGUCUAUCGACAGCUGGACUAAAGGGAAAUAUAACGGAUUGCAUUUAACUGUGCAUUUCCUCAGACUUGGACUUUAUGGUGAAGUUGGGGAUCCAGUCAUGGCCAUCCAAGGACGGAACAAGCAAAUUCAGAAUUGAACCGAGCACAGACUAUGCUGCUUUGAGGACAAUGUUGGCCAGAAAGGUUACAAAACCUCAGACUUGCAGAGAAACGUGGCUACAACCCGCGAUCACCUUCAAACUGGUUCAUCACAAAACCACUGAGUCUUCAAUAAAAAUUAUAUAAGAAACCUUUAGAAUCAAAAAACACAAGUAUUGAGUUAUUGUUACAUUAGCAAAAACCAACCUGCAAUUACAUAAUUUAGCCAAUUUUAUUGGGAAAAGGGAAAGUGUCCAGUGGUUUUUCUGCAAUUCUAUCCAUCAUUUGAAAUUUGUGAAGGGUGUUUGAGGAUUUUCUGCCUUCAUUUAUCCUCGUUCAUCUCAGAGCAGUAACAGGAGUUCUAAUCUAUGUAUUAAAAAUGCCUUUUUAAAUAAAUAUUUGAACUAUGUCUAAAUGUGAAAUGUCUUUGAGUACAAAAAAAA